UACGUAGGGUGCAAGCGUUAUCCAGAUUUACUGGGCGUAAAGCGCACGCAGGCGGAUGAUUAAGUCAGCUGUGAAAGCUCCCGGCUCAACUGGGAAGGUCGGCUGAACUGGUCGUCUGGAGGGCAACAGAGGAGUGUAGAAUUGCGGUGUAGUGGUGAAAUGCGUAGAUAUCCGCAGGAAUACCAGUGGCGAAGGCGGCACUCUGGGUUGUACCUGACGCUGAUGUGCGAAGGCUAGGGGAGCGAACAGG
rnacentral:rRNA from 1 species